rnacentral:rRNA from 1 species
AUGGACAGCGACGACGAGGAGAUGCGCGACGCCUCCUCCUCCUCCUGCUCCGCCGCCGCCGACGACGACGGCGCGGGGUUCGAGGAGGUGGAGGACGAAGAGAAGGACGGGGUGAUGGUGAUGGAGGUCCGGUGGUUCGAGGUGGACCUCGACUACGAGUACGACGCGCCGCGCUGGUUCGACCUCGCGCAGGCCGAGGCCCCCGCCGAGGCCGCCGCCGCCGAGCUCUGGUUCGCCACCGCCCCCAGCUACCCGCCCUCCCCGUUGAUUGCAAUGAUGUUGGCUGAAGACCUUGGGCUGCCAAACCUAAGAAGCAUCACAGUUGCAGAUAUAGAGGCUGUGCGUUGCCCUAAACCAUCUCAACGUUGUUCUGGUGCAACUGAACAAAGUAUAUAUCGAUCACAUGUACCAAAUGAAGGACGGAUACCGAGCUAUGGAGCAUCAAAACAUGAACGAAAACCUGUCACUCGAAGUGCUGUGAAGGGGAGUUUAUCCAAGGGGUCCACACUGAUGAAGCCUACAGCCAGUCAAUUGGCCAGGCAACACAAGCAACUUGAAGUGAAGAAUGUUGUACCUAGUAAAAAAUCAGUUGGAGUGAGAAGUGACAGAAGUACCAUUAGCUCAAAUGAUUGCACUCAACAAGCUGGUAAAAGGCAGAAACUUGAAAAAGGUCAUCUCAACAAGGAUGUUGCUACAAAUCAACAUGAGUUGAUUCACAAGGCCCAUGAAAAGAAUGUUAUGAGCAGUAGCUAUGAUCGUGCCACCGUUCUACCUAAAUUGAAGAUUACAGUUCCGAGAGAACCUGAGUUGGCUACUAAGCUGAGAGCAGAGAGGUCAAGGAUUCAAAGAUUAGUCCCAAGUAAUUCAAAGCAGUUAGACAGACGGGAUCCUGCUUGUACGACCCAAUCGGCACCGACUAGAAAGGUCGUGCAACCUUUUCGGGCUCAUCAGCAUGCAAAUAUACAACAUGUCAAUGUUGCACCAAAAACGCCAGUGUGUUCAUCUAACCGUGCAACUAGUCUUCACAACAUUGAUAAAACAUCAGAAGAUGACCGAGAUGGCACGACGGGCACGUUUAAAUUUAAAGCUCUGCCACUGGAUAAAAAGAUAUUGGCAAGCAGAGGAGACAUCGGUGUAUUUCAAACUGCCAAAAGAAAUCCUACAGUGCCUAAGGAAUUCAACUUGUCAACAAGCCGGAAGAGCAAGCAGCCUCCAUUAUCCGAACUCUUUAACAAACUUUCUUUAAGUACCGAAGCCUGCCGUACCAUGGGCCACCAGACCAGUGAACGCCCAAAUUAUAUCACUACCAAGGACUGCAAAGAGAACAUGAUUGGUGCCAUUCAUUGCUAG